AUGCGUCGGUUGCAUCAGAUCAACAAUUCACCAUGGCUUCUAAUUGGGGAUUUGAAUGAGAUCCAGUUCUUGACUGAAAAGGUUGGUGGAAAUCCUAGACCGCAAUAGUAUAUGCAAGCUUUUCAAUCUGCCAUUCAUGAUUGUGAGCUAAGGGACAUGGGUUUCCUGGGGGACCAGUUCACGUGGCAGCGAGGUCGCAUUAGAGAGCGACUAGACCGUGGCCUAAUUAAUGACUCUUGGGGUGCCCUAUACCCCCAUGCAGCUUUACAAAAUCUAAGUUACAACCAUUCUGGUCAUAGACCCUUUCUAGUGGACACGGAAUAUUACUUACCUAGCAUUGGAAGUGGCAACCAGGUGAAGUGCUUUGAGGCUAGUUGGUUGAGAGAAAAUAGCUUUGCUAAUCUAGUCUAG
rnacentral:rRNA from 1 species